AACGCACAUUGCGCCUCCUGGUAUUCCGGGAGGCAUGCCUGUUCGAGCGUCAUUAAAAACCGCUCAAGCUCUUUUGCUUGGUAUUGGGAGAUGAGUAUACUUUUCCUAGUUUACUCACUUUCGAAAUUCAAAGGCGUAGAGCCCCACAUACCACAGCGUAGUAAGUUUUCUUUCGCUUGGAGUGUGAGGUGAUAUUGCCACAAACCCCCAAUUAUUUUUCUAGGUUGACCUCGGAUCAGGUAGGGAUACCCGCUGAACUUAA
rnacentral:misc_RNA from 1 species